rnacentral:rRNA from 1 species
GCUGGCGGUAUGCCUAACACAUGCAAGUCGUACGAGAUCUACUUUUUUUCGGAAAGGUAGAUUGCAGUGGCGGACGGGUGAGUAAUGCGUAAGAACUUACCUUUUGGUGGGGGAUAACAGCGGGAAACUGCUGCUAAUACCCCAUAAUGCUGAGGAGCUAAAAGUGAAAACUGCCAAGAGAGAGGCUUGCGUCUGAUUAGCUAGUUGGAGGAGGUAAAUGCUCCCCAAGGCGACGAUCAGUAGCUGGUCUGAGAGGAUGAUCAGCCACACUGGGACUGAGACACGGCCCAGACUCCUACGGGAGGCAGCAGUGGGGAAUUUUCCACAAUGGGCGAAAGCCUGAUGGAGCAAUACCGCGUGAGGGAUGAAGGAUCGUGGUCUGUAAACCUCUUUUCUUAAGGAAGAAUAAAUGACGGUACUUAAGGAAUAAGCACCGGCUAACUCCGUGCCAGCAGCCGCGGUAAUACGGGGGGUGCAAGCGUUGUCCGGAAUGAUUGGGCGUAAAGCAUCUGUAGGUGGUUUUUAAAGUCAACUGUUAAAGCCCAGGGCUUAACUUUGGAAAAGCGGUUGAGCACUUAAGGACUCGAGUAUGGUAGGGGUAGAGGGAAUUCCUUGUGGAGCGGUGAAAUGCACAGAGAUAAGGAAGAACACCGAAGGCGAAAGCACUCUACUGGGCCAUGACUGACACUGAGAGAUGAAAGUCGGGGGAGCGAAAAGGAUUAGACACCCUUGUAGUCCCGACUGUAAACGAUGGAUACUAAGUGCUGACAAAAUCAGUGCUGUAGCUAACGCGUUAAGUAUCCCGCCUGGGGAGUAUGCUCGCAAGAGUGAAACUCAAAGGAAUUGACGGGAAUUGGCACAAGCGGUGGAUUAUGCCGGUUAAUUCGAUGAU